rnacentral:hammerhead_ribozyme from 1 species
AUCUUAUUGACGAGUCCAAAAUAGGACGAAAACAAAAUCUUGUAU